rnacentral:rRNA from 1 species
GACGAACGCUGGCGGCGUGCUUAAUACAUGCAAGUAGAACGCUGAAGGAGGAGCUUGCUCUUCUGGAUGAGUUGCGAACGGGUGAGUAACGCGUAGGUAACCUGCCUGGUAGCGGGGGAUAACUAUUGGAAACGAUAGCUAAUACCGCAUAACAUUGACUAUUGCAUGAUAGUCAAUUGAAAGGUGCAAAUGCACCACUACCAGAUGGACCUGCGUUGUAUUAGCUAGUUGGUGGGGUAACGGCUCACCAAGGCGACGAUACAUAGCCGACCUGAGAGGGUGAUCGGCCACACUGGGACUGAGACACGGCCCAGACUCCUACGGGAGGCAGCAGUAGGGAAUCUUCGGCAAUGGACGGAAGUCUGACCGAGCAACGCCGCGUGAGUGAAGAAGGUUUUCGGAUCGUAAAGCUCUGUUGUAAGAGAAGAACGAGUGUGAGAGUGGAAAGUUCACACUGUGACGGUAUCUACCAGAAA